rnacentral:tRNA from 1 species
GUUCUGUUAGUUAAAUGGAUAUAACGGGGUCCUCCUAAGACUCUAUUGGGGGUUCGAUUCCCUCACAGAACG